rnacentral:ncRNA from 1 species
AAAUUGAAGAGUUUGAUCAUGGCUCAGAUUGAACGCUGGCGGCAGGCCUAACACAUGCAAGUCGAGCGGAAACGGCAGUAUUGAAGCUUCGGUGGAUUUACUGGACGUCGAGCGGCGGACGGGUGAGUAACGGCUGGGAACCUGCCCUGACGAGGGGGAUAACCGUUGGAAACGACGGCUAAUACCGCAUAAUGUCUACGGACCAAAG